AAUUUCCCCUAUCGUGCGACCUAUUCUCAGAAAAAGCCAAAAGUUGUCAGAGUCACCAGGGGUGCCGAAUUUAAGCCCAGACUUGCAUGGAUAGAAGACACGAGUAAAUGUGAGGUGCAGUAUGAGCGUUUGGUGACGUCUUGCAACUGUGUCAGCGAGUAUCAGGACCCCAAAACUGUAUUG